GACAGAGGGUGCAAACGUUGUUCGGAAUUACUGGGCGUAAAGCGCGUGUAGGCGGCUAAGUAAGUCGGGCGUGAAAUCCCACGGCUCAACCGUGGAAGUGCACUCGAAACUGCAUAGCUAGAGUCCCGGAGAGGAAGGUGGAAUGCUUGGUGUAGAGGUGAAAUUCGUAGAUAUCAAGCGGAACACCGGUGGCGAAGGCGGCCUUCUGGACAGUGACUGACGCUGAGACGCGAAAGCGUGGGGAGCAAACAGG
rnacentral:rRNA from 1 species